CUGAGCCGCGGGGUUAUUGCUUGCCAUGUGAUGUCAGUGUUUUGUGGGCGCAGUGACUGUGUAUGAGCUUCCAAUUCCCAGAAUCAUCAGCUCUCAUAAAGAUUGCGAUAAGGGCUGCUGAGAGGCUCUGCGAUUGGCAGGUAAUGAAAAGCUGCUCUCUGGUCUGGCUGGAGCCUUCUCUCCCCCAGCCUGUCCUGGUAGGGGAUGUGCUCCAUCCCUUGGAUCAUUACUGUGGCCCUCCUCUGGACAACAGGUCUGCAUCUCUCCUGUACUGAAGACCCCACACCCGGACGCAGGGCUCCAGAGGGCUGUUCCGAUGAUGAUUUCAGGGAAGAGACUGUGUGAGUAAGAAGAAGAUGAUGAGGAAGAGGUUGGGAAAAAACAAACAGUCUAGUGCACACCCUAAGUGGAUGGAUAAAAUUUGCAAGUAAUUACUGUAGGAUGGAAACAUUUGGGAAACAGAAUGGAAGAAAGUGAACCGUAAAUACUGAUAGACUCGUGGUUUAGCACUGGAAAACUUGUGAUGAACAGGACGGUCAUCUUUGCUUAUAUGUUUGUUAUAUCUAUAUUAAGAAUCUAACCAAAAGGCAAAAUAUUGUAACAUCAAACCCAACCAGAUGCACCAGGGUUUAUUUCUUUCAGAUUGACACUGUGAUAACCAAAGCCUAUACAGAUUUCAGGGUCAGCACAGGUCAAAGAGUUGCUCUGGACGUUAUCAUUUUGGCUGCAAAUGAAGGCUGAUGAAAUAUGAAUUUCAAGAGAACAGAAUAUGAAUGUUUUCUAGGCCUUGUGUUAUUAUAGAACUUCAUCAAAUACCAGUAGAUUGUAUAUCAAGUGGUCCCAGUCUGCCCUUGUCUCAAACAUAUUCUCUGAUACUAGAGCUGAAAGGGUAUAGGCAUCUUAUUUCACACCAUAGGAUGCUGCAGAGCCAAACUACAUUAACAUACAACAGCUAAGAUUAAUGUUUGGAAGUGGCCCAGUCUCUGAGUCAGACUGAUCCUUUCCGUUCAUAAACUUUAAAGUGCCAGGAAAAAAGUUUAGAAGUCCAAUUAAAAUAAAACCCAGAUAGCUCCACUUCAGGCUUAUCAUCACUGUGUGAGGAGGGCAGCAUUUCACUCUUCCUCUGUGAGUUGCUUGAGCAAGAAUCUCAAAGUGACCUCACAAGAGACAGGCUGAAAGAGGUCUCCUUUGUUAAGGCUGAGAAUGGAGACUGAGAAGCCUGGCUGGCAGAUUUUUCUGUGUUUGUUGCUUUAUUCAACUUGGUUUACUUAUUUCUCCUCGUGCACACUCAUUUGAAAGGGAUCUUUCUUUUGAGUUUGGUUUCUGAUGAACCAUCUUCCCAGCUCCCCAGAUACAUCUCCAGUCAGCUCCCGUGAUAGCAUGAAACUUCUUAUUCUUACCUCUCAGUUCCUGCACCGUCUGUGUAUCUGCUCUCAUUUCUUCCUUAUUCCCUCCUGAUGAUUAUUCACAUCUCAAGCAGGUUCUCUCUUCAUUCUUUCAUAUCUUUCCACUCCUUUUUGCACGUUUUGUGUGUUUACAGCACUUGCUUGUUCUCACUAUCUCCUUUGACAAUAAAAGACAACCCUUGGAGACUAUCUCCAAUCUGGAGUCUCUCUUUGGCCAAACAGCAGAUGGUUGCAGACAGCAAGAAAGAUAGAUGCCAGAUUGGAUCCUAUGACAUCUGAAAUUGGCCACCCAAAACUAACCUCCCUCCUAAUCAGAGUCCCCAACAAUGGUGUUUCAGAGAUGCUGAGUCCACAGACUCCAGGUGCAAUCAAUACAGGCCAGAGACGGCCUCCUCUGGCUUCAUUCUUUCUAGAUUACAAAAGCCUCUUUUUGGAAGAUUUUCUCUGGCCACACCCUGACUUCUGCAACAGAUUGUUUAGCACUGAGAAAACCUUCCCAAUCCGCUGACCAUCAUCCUGCUGGCAAACAACCAAAGAAGAGUGAUGAAAACACAAGUGUUAGUUGCAGGAGAGGCCGCCUGCUAGCAAAUCACAGAAGCAGCAAUUAAAAAUCCAUAUUCAAAUUAUGACAAAAAUGAAAAAGAGUAGGAUUCUCUUGUCUGUGGAGUCCCACUGGGCUUAUUCAGCUCCCCAAAUGCUACACAGUAUCUGGAGGAAACCCCUGAGAAAGCUGAUAAGGCAGCAGCCAAAAGUAAACCGGCAAAGUGCUAUUCAACGUCUCACUCCAGUUCUGAUGGAUCCAAUGAUGGAUGAGAAUGCUAAACUGCAACACCAUGACUGGGUGCCCACGGGCUGCUGCUGAAGGAUUUGGCUGGUUUUCCAACUAAGCUUCCAGUGUUUUCUUUGGAAAAUUCCUCCUAGCCAAGAUUUUGGCUUGUUUAACUUGUUCAGUGCUGGGGGGGCAGUGAGUGGCCCAAUGCUGUUGAAUCCUCACAUACAUGUUUCAUUGAAAAGCACCACUUUCCAUACAUCACUGAGUACAGAAUAGCAUUCACUCUGUCUGGGCAGCCACCUGAGCUCAGCCUGACUUCACACUCAGGAUACUCAUCCUGCCUUCCACAGCCCAAGCUGAGAACAAACCCACCCACCCUGAGGUCACUCUUAACACAACAAACCAAGCACUCGGCAUCACCAGCCCUUGUUGAGCUCUCACACUGACUCCCCACUGACACUAUGCUGGUACGAGGUCUCUGGGAGAGAUCCAAAAUAGCACUCAGGCACCGAAGUGCAACUUGUGCAGACUGCUGGCGCCGGUGCUCCUAAGAGCAGCCCCGGAAAGCCUGUCCUCCCCUCCCUCAGCUACGUCAGAUGCUCUAAGAGCCUACAGCUCCUGGUGAAAGCUUCCUCUGGCGCCUAAAGGUCUGCUGCCUUUCUGUGCCCAGCAGCCUCACUGCUCUGCCUGGGCUGAAUUCUCAUGCCUACUUCUCUCCCAAAAUAUGGUGGGCUUUUUUGCCAGUAAGGAGGACCCAAAGGACCCAAUCUACUAGGCAUGUUGUGAUUGAACAGGACACCAAGGACAAGGCUGAAGGGAAGGAACUCUUGGGAGUGCUUAUGUACUUAUAUGUAUUUAACAUUAGUAAGUCAUGGACCCCCCCCAGUCCAAUAUCACCAGUAUCCCAGCCCUACAAUUACCACCGUUUCCAAGAGAAGGGCCCUAACAAGCCACUCUAUUCCAGCACAACAGUUGGCACUCCUGGUCACACAACAGUUCAGCUUUCUGACACUGGACUGAGAGCCCUCUCCUUUCUUCCCCUGAAUGCUUGAAAUUUCUCACAGCACUCCCUAUAAGUUCAAAGGUCCAGAAGUGAACUUGGGAGUAUGCAAAACAACAAUGGUGGAUUAUCUCCCAGGAAAAUUUCCACGGAGAAGUCUGAUUCAAGUGUCAGUGUUAAACGUGUGACUUACUUAAAGCCAUAAAUGAUCUCUUUUUGGUUCCAUAUCAGGGUCUCAUAGGGAUAUCCUCAGACAAUCCCUUCUCCCAUGUAUUUCCUGCUGAUUGAUACAGGCGUCUCAUCACUCAGUGUACUAGCCAUGGGCAAAAGUCCUUAGGUUCCUAAUUAUUCCUCUCCCAAGUACAGGGAAUUUAGGCAUUUAACUCACUGUAGAAUAGUCUUCCCUUGAAUUACUGAAUUAAGUGAACUCCUUUAGAUGCUAAACUUUAAACUGUUAUUUGUUACUAAUUGAAAUCUCUUUGAGAUUUGGCCCUCUGUUUUUUGCGUUCAAAGUCCUUGAUUACGUUGCUUACCUCCA